UGGCGGGGCUAUGGCUUGACUGGGUGCAUCAGUCUCUUUAGACUCAUGCACCCCUAAAUUUGGCAGGGCGCGUGCCCUGCCAUUUUGCUUUCCUAGCAGGGCAAUAGCGUCGAAAGACAACAGUGGAGCAUAUAGA
rnacentral:sRNA from 1 species